CCUACGGGAGGCAGCAGUGAGGAAUAUUGGUCAAUGGAGGCAACUCUGAACCAGCCAUGCCGCGUGCAGGAUGACGGUCCUAUGGAUUGUAAACUGCUUUUGUACGGGAAGAAAUGUGAUUACGUGUAAUUAUUUGACGGUACCGUAAGAAUAAGGAUCGGCUAACUCCGUGCCAGCAGCCGCGGUAAUA
rnacentral:rRNA from 1 species